GGCGUGUACUGCUUGGCUGGGCCUUACUUCUUGGUGAGCCGGCGUGCCCUUUAUUGGUGUGCGUCGGGGAACCAGGACUUUUACCUUGAGAAAAUUAGAGUGUUCAAAGCAGGCCUAUGCCUGAAUACAUUAGCAUGGAAUAAUAGAAUAGGACGUGCGGUUCUAUUUUGUUGGUUUCUAGAGUCGCCGUAAUGAUUAAUAGGGACAGUUGGGGGCAUUGGUAUUGAGUCGCUAGAGGUGAAAUUCUUGGAUUGACUCAAGACCGACUAUUGCGAAAGCAUUUGCCAAGGAUGUUUUCAUUAAUCAAGAACGAAGGUUAGGGGAUCGAAAACGAUCAGAUACCGUUGUAGUCUUAACAGUAAACUAUGCCGACUAGGGAUCGGAUGACCUCAAAAUUGAUGUGUCAUUCGGCACCUUACGAGAAAUCAAAGUCUUUGGGUUUUGGGGGGAGUAUGGUCGCAAGGCUGAAACUUAAAGGAAUUGACGGAAGGGCACCACCAGGUGUGGAGCCUGCGGCUUAAUUUGACUCAACACGGGGAAACUCACCAGGUCCAGACAUAACUAGGAUUGACAGAUUGAUAGCUCUUUCAUGAUUUUAUGGGUGGUGGUGCAUGGCCGUUCUUAGUUGGUGGAGUGAUUUGUCUGGUUAAUUCCGAUAACGAACGAGACCUUAACCUGCUAAAUAGCCAGCCCGGCUUCGGCUGGUCUCUGGCUUCUUAGAGGGACUGUCAG
rnacentral:rRNA from 1 species